AAGCUUGACGAGGAGGAGAUGGUUUCUUAUAUUCUUGCAGGGUUGGAUAUGGAUUACAACCCACUUGUCUCCUCCAUCGUCGGUAGAAUAGACCCCAUCUCUCUGAGUGAUCUAUAUGCUCAGAUGCUCUCCUAUGAUA